rnacentral:lncRNA from 1 species
AUGCAUCAGUGCCUUACAAAGUUAGCAUUCCCUCAAAUAUUUACUGGCAGCAUUGUAAAGACCAGGAAAAAAAAAANNNNNNNNNNUACAAAGUUAGCAUUCCCUCAAAUAUUUAUUGGCAACGUUGUAAACACCAGAAAAAAAAAUCUUCAGCUGCAGUUUUCUGCAGUACAAAUCCAAACAAACACUGUCCUACCUUCACUGCUCCACACCUAAGCCUCCUCCAGCUCUGCAUCUGCAGAGGCUCACUGGCUUGAAGACAGUAUCAUUCUCAAGCACCAGGCUCAAGUGCUUGUUAAGGGAUGAGCCUUGGAAAGGUUCCCCCUUUAUCAAUAGCUCUGUAUGAAUAGUUUCAGUCUUGCUAAUGGCCUUGGAGGCAGAGAGAGAGAAGCCUUUUCAUUCAGAGGUCAACCCUGAACAAACACAGCAGUGCCCUGUCUCCCGAUUCAGAUAAGGGUCAACAGCCAUUCAUUUCCCCUAAUCAGAUCCGAGUAGAAACUUGCUCUGUCGCAACUAUAUUACCUUCCUGUUUUCCUCCCAGGCCCCAGGAAUAAGUAGGUAUUGAUAGCUGAGCUCAAAUCCAUGUUUCUUGAAGCACUACAGAAGCAGUGGAUUGGCAAAAUGUUACACACAAGCGUGGGAUGCUGUUCGAUAAGAGAUCUGAGGAUGUGUUUAGAGGAAGAGGCACAUACCUGAAGCACUUAUUUCAUAAAUAUGUGCCUCUGGCAUGCUUCUUCCAGGCAUUCAGGAGCAUGACAUGGAAAUGGCUUGUUCCAGGUGACCUCAACCCCCUAAGCAGCAGCUAUUAGAGACCUUCCAGUGACCCUAAAAGGCCUUGCAGGCUGCCUGGUGCUAACCACUGUGCUAACUGCACAGAGGGGAAAAAGUUAAAUGAAGUUAUUGACCCAUCUAAAAAGCAAAGCAUAGACACCUCUGGGAAAAACAAACAAACAAACAAAACCAAUGCAGGACAGAACUCUUAAAGGGAAAGAAGACCCAGCCUUAAUGCUGUUGUUCUCCAUCCCUAUUUGCGUACUCUUCUAAGCUCAUCCUCCUGUCACACAGGCCUUCUACUACAUCUUCUACAAAUGCCAUUUGUCAGACAGGGAAUAAGCCGCAGAACAUCCAGCACACAGUUUUCAAUUUUUUUACAAAAGCCACUAUGCAGAGAAGA